rnacentral:rRNA from 1 species
UACGGAGGGUGCAAGCGUUAUCCGGAUUCACUGGGUUUAAAGGGUGCGUAGGUGGGUUGGUAAGUCAGUGGUGAAAUCUCCGUGCUUAACAUGGAAACUGCCAUUGAUACUACUGAUCUUGAAUUUUCGGGAGGUAAGCGGAAUAUGUCAUGUAGCGGUGAAAUGCUUAGAUAUGACAUAGAACACCAAUUGCGAAAGGCAGCUUACUACAGGAAUAUUGACACUGAUGCACGAAAGCGUGGGGAUCAAACAGG